ensembl:rRNA 5S_rRNA 5S ribosomal RNA
GUCUAUGGCCAUGCCACCCUGAACGUGAGUGAUCUCAUAUGAUUUUGGAAGCUAAGAAGGGUUGGGCCUAGUUAAUACUUAGAUGGGAGACCACCUAAAAAUACCAGGUGCUGUAGGUA